CAUGGAGCUCUCUGCUGCCUCUUCCAAGGGGCCGCAGAUACCCGUUCCUUGCUCUAUUUCUUCACCAGCCCUACCUGUUCUCAGUCCAUUACCUCAUGGCCCUGCUCUCUGCUUACUAAAGUGACAAUUCGUCUAUAAGGAAGCCCUUGCACUGUAGCUGAGGAUUCGCGAGGCUGCACCCUCAGCAGGCACUGUGGCCACACAGCACUGGCCUGAGAUCUGAGUUCCUGGAGCCUCGGCCCUGAGGCCCAUGAGUCGGGGUCUCACUGUCUUACCUGGGCUGGUCUCAAUCUCCUGGGCUCAAGUGAUCCUCUCAACUCAGCCUCCCAAAGUGCUGAGAUUACAGGCCAUAGAACAAGCCAUUUUCAACAAAAGGACUUGCAAAUUCCUGCCUUAGGGCUCCUUCUGCACAGGACAGACCUUUCAUCACCAACCCAACUUGUAAUCUUGGGUAAAGAAGGUUCUCAGCUCAUUUUCAAGAAGAAAAAAAAAAUGUAAGAGCUAGCAGCCCCAAAGUACUUCCACUGAAGCCUUUGGAAAAGAGGGAAGACUCCAAGUCUCUGGCACCUGCAGAAGAGGGGAAUCUUGAGAAGUAGCUGACGCUCCGAGUUUACAUGUCCCCUUGGUGAGAUUUCUUACAGCAGAACAUGACGUUCUUCCCACCCCCAGGAUGCAAACCACUUUAAAAGAAUGUUAUACUUUGCUCUGCGUGGCCAAAUACCACAAACACCACUUGAUUUUAAAAUUAUGUAGUCUUGGUAUUCCAAAGCCAACGUGCACCACCAUGCAAGAACAGAUGCGGUCUCUGAAGGCAAAAGCCCCAGGCAGUGCUUAAGUCUCAAAAAAGAGUUGUCAUGUCAUCCUCAACUUGAGAUGUUUGCUUGGCAAGCAUUUUUUACUCUCUGGAGGAAAUUUUGUUUACAGGAUUUAACAGUUACACACACAAACACACACACACACACACACACACACACACACAAUUACUCAUUGUUCAGCUGCAGAACAAAGGUCAGCUCUUGGCACGCAGUAGUUUUCCAAUUCCUGAUCCUUUUUGAUUUUCAAUGUGCCCAUCAGCAGACAUGUAAUUUUAUCUUAAGACAGCCAAGUGCAAAGCAUGAGACAAUAGGCAGAAAUCUUGUAAAUAACUAUCAAACAGAAAUAAUCCUUUCAGCUGACGAGGGAAAGCCUCCUUUGUUCCAUUUUAAUGAUGUUUAUAUAAAUUUUAGUAUGCAUAUUCAGUCAGUAACAUUAUUUUAAGGCAGUUGAUAUAGGUGCCAAAAUCCUCUGUGUACUGAGGAGAUAGGUUAUCUUUUGCAUGUGUGGGGUUUUGGAGACAAAAGUUGCACUGAAGUGUGUGGCUCUUGUAAAUUAUCUCAAUUUCCUGUUUGAGAUAAUGGAGCAGUGGAUUUUCACAUCCAAUCCCUUUAAAUCGUAGGUUUAAUUCAGUUGAGACCCAGAAGUGAUUAGCCCAAGUUUACACAGGCACUUAAUAGCUGAGCAGGGUCACAGACAAAUUCUACCUAAAGUUUGCAAUUACUCCCCAUGAUAAGCUGGAGAAUUGGAAUUCCUUUCCAUUACCUGUAGUACUUUUGCCAUAGUAAGUCUUAGAACAAGAGUAAAGAAAAGGCAAUAGGUUUUCAUGGCUGGGUGCAGGGGCUCAUACUUGUAAUCCCAGCACUUUGGGAGGUCAAGGUAGGAGGAUUGCUUGAGGCUAGGAGUUUGAGACCAGCCUCAGCAACAUGGUGAAACCCCGUCCCUACCAAAAAAAAAAAAAAAAAAAAUUAGCUGGGCAUGGUGGCAUGAACCAGUAGUUCCACCUACUCAGGAGGUUAAGGCAGGAAGAUCUCUUGACCCCACGAGGUUGAGGCUUCAGUGAGCUAUGAUUGUGCCACUGCAUUCCAGCCUGAGUGACAGAGCAAGGCCCUAUCUCAAAAAAAAAAAAAAAAAAAGAAAAAGGAAAAAGAA
ensembl:lncRNA novel transcript